AAAGACUUAGUCCUAACCUUACUGUUAGUUUUUGCUAGGUAUAUA
rnacentral:rRNA from 12 species